CUCCAUUGGCGCCUUUUACUGCCUGUCACUUUGUCACCGAACGUCGCGUGGUACUAUUGGCCGGUUGAGGAUGCUGUUCAUCCCGCCCCGAUCUGAGGUGACGGGAAAGAGCUUGGGGAAUUUCCACUUCGGAUUUAAAAGGAGCGCUGGAGUGGAACCCGCCUGGAUCGAUAAACUCUGGCUCCGCCCUAACCCUGCACUAGAAGAUGCCGGCAGGUCACAGAUGCGAGAGGCGCCCGGAUAACGUAGCCCACCUGUCGCUGUCCCCGGGGCGCCGCGGCUAGGGCCGGAAGUGACUGCACAGGGAUUGGAAGAAAGAAGCGAUCCGUCUCAGCAAGGUUCCGCCUCCCUGUCCUUGCCUGGUUGGAGGACAGAGACGUCAGUCACUAGAGCCGGCACCACCUCUGGGACAGUGCCUGAGGCCAACCCAACAACUCAUUCAACUGAAUGAAGAGCAGAGGGUCCUCCGAUAUCACCAGCUCCCUGCUGUCUAUGUCUGAGGGGCCAUCAGGGCUGGCAUUAGGGCCAAAGCCACUGUGUAGCUCUGCUGGAGGAACAUUUUCAUGAGCAGUGGAAGCUUCAAAUUCCUCCGGGCCUGGCAGCUUCAUCUUGGAAAGGCUUGCACAGAAUCGGGGAGCAGUACCUUCCUAGGGGCCUUCUGGCUUCCCUGCAUUUAUCCUUCAUCACUCACGACACUCAUGACGCAAGCAGAGCAAAGCCUGCUGGCUCCAGAAAAUACUAGUCACCUCCUUCUCUACUUGCUUCCCCACCCCAGCAGGCUCAACAGUAUUUGUAAGACUAACAUAGCAUUUCCAGACCCUGCAGAAGUGCCAACCAAAGUGUGUAUUCCCUGUGGGAUCAGGUCUGACUUUACUGUAUUUUGUGUAAAUAAGUAGCAGUGGAUGGCUGGCCUAAGUCUGAGUACUGACACCCUCAGCUUGUACCAUAUGUAAACACCACAUGUACAGAACUGUUUUAGAUGUCAACAACAUAGCCUAGGAGUCACAGGCAUACAUUCAGACAAAUGCAACAAAUAAACAAUGAGGCCCGUGGAAGCCAGGUGGGUAAGGAAGACAGAGGGAGUGGCCUUACCUGUUAAAAGGGCUAAUGAUGGAAAGUGGAGACAGGUCAUGGAGAACAUAAUGCCUGUCUCUUAAAUUCUUUUGUCCAACAGCUGGGAUCUGCCCUUUUAACUGAGUCCCUCACUCGGGAUGGAGGAGACAAACUAGGGUAUGUGAGAUGGUUUCUGGAGGACUAGGAAGAUGGUUCAGUGGAUAAAAUGUUCAACGUGCAAGAAUGAGAACCUGAGUUAAGAUCCUCAAAAGCCGCUAAAAAUGCUGAGUGUGGUGGCCUGUGCUUAUAAUCUCAGUGCUGGGGAAGGGAAGACAGUCAGAUCCUUAGGGUCUACUGACUAACUGGUGUAGCUGAUCAGUGAACUUUAGGUUCAACAAGAGACCUUGUCUCAAAAAAAAAAAAAAAAAUAAGGGGAAUUAAAAAAAAAUAA